UUGGACCUGAUAUCAGACAAGAC
rnacentral:rRNA from 2 species